rnacentral:rRNA from 1 species
AGGCAACAGUGGGGAAUAUUGCACAAUGGGCGCAAGCUGAUGCAGCCAUGCCGCGUGUGUGAAGAAGGCUUCGGGUUGUAAAGCACUUUCAGCGAGGAGGAAGGUGGUGAGCUUAAUACGCUCAUCAAUUGACGUUACUCGCAAAGAAGCACCGGCUAANUANCNG